rnacentral:rRNA from 1 species
AACAGGAUUAGAUACCCUGGUAGUCCACGCCGUAAACGAUGUCGACUUGGAGGUUGUUCCCUUGAGGAGUGGCUUCCGGAGCUAACGCGUUAAGUCGACCGCCUGGGGAGUACGGCCGCAAGGUUAAAACUCAAAUGAAUUGACGGGGGCCCGCACAAGCGGUGGAGCAUGUGGUUUAAUUCGAUGCAACGCGAAGAACCUUACCUACUCUUGACAUCCACGGAAUUUGGCAGAGAUGCCUUAGUGCCUUCGGGAACCGUGAGACAGGUGCUGCAUGGCUGUCGUCAGCUCGUGUUGUGAAAUGUUGGGUUAAGACCCGCAACGAGCGCAACCCUUAUCCUUUGUUGCCAGCGAUUCGGUCGGGAACUCAAAGGAGACUGCCGGUGAUAAACCGGAGGAAGGUGGGGAUGACGUCAAGUCAUCAUGGCCCUUACGAGUAGGGCUACACACGUGCUACAAUGGCGCAUACAAAGAGAAGCGACCUCGCGAGAGCAAGCGGACCUCAUAAAGUGCGUCGUAGUCCGGAUCGGAGUCUGCAACUCGACUCCGUGAAGUCGGAAUCGCUAGUAAUCGUGGAUCAGAAUGCCACGGUGAAUACGUUCCCGGGCCUUGUACACACCGCCCGUCACACCAUGGGAGUGGGUUGCAAAAGAAGUAGGUAGCUUAACCUUCGGGAGGGCGCUUACCACUUUGUGAUUCAUGACUGGGGUGAAGUCGUAACAAGGUAACC